rnacentral:rRNA from 1 species
UGGGGAAUAUUGCACAAUGGGCGCAAGCCUGAUGCAGCCAUGCCGCGUGUAUGAAGAAGGCCUUCGGGUUGUAAAGUACUUUCAGCGAGGAGGAAGGCGUUGUGGUAAAUAACCGCAACGAUUGACGUUACUCGCAGAAGAAGCACCGACUAACUCCGUGCCAGCAGCCGCGGUAAUACGGAGGGUGCAAGCGUUAAUCGGAAUUACUGGGCGUAAAGCGCACGCAGGCGGUCUGUCAAGUCGGAUGUGAAAUCCCCGGGCUCAACCUGGGAACUGCAUCCGAAACUGGCAGGCUAGAGUCUUGUAGAGGGGGGUAGAAUUCCAGGUGUAGCGGUGAAAUGCGUAGAGAUCUGGAGGAAUACCGGUGGCGAAGGCGGCCCCCUGGACAAAGACUGACGCUCAGGUGCGAAAGCGUGGGGAGCAAACA